rnacentral:misc_RNA from 1 species
GGAUGUUUUUGCUUCCUCUCCUUCCUUGAUGACCUUUUCUCCUCGGAGCUUUGAGGGUUACAAGAAAGACGCAAAGGUGGUGGUUAAUGUAACAGUUGAAGGGAGUCCAGGACCAGUGAGGACCAUGGUUAAAUUGGGAUCUAGUGUGGAGGACACAAUAAAGCUUGUUGUAGACAAGUACGCUGAAGAAGGACGGACCCCUAAGCUUGAUAAGGAUGCAGCAUCCUCAUGUGAAUUGCAUCACUCCUACUUCAGCCUUCAAAGUAAGUUGAGAUUUGGAGUUGCUGUAUAAUUAAGUUUUAAAGGUUUUUACUAAUUAUUCCUUGUCAAUUAAUUAACCAUUACAUUAAUUAAGAGAUAGUUGUUUCACUUAUUUCACUAAUUCUUAAGUUCACCCUGUUAAUUUUGGAUUGAGAUGUCUUCCUUCGAAGAGAACUUUUCCCCCAAUUAUCUGGAUUACCUAGAAGUUUCUUCAACUAUUCAGACAAAAUUGCAAACUUUUUAGGUGCUUCUGUUAGAGAAGUUGAACUUAUGCAAAUUACAAUUUGAGAGAUUCUUGCAUUUUUAGCUAUUGCUAUGGAUUUUUUUGUCUCGCUGCCAAACAAACUCUCCAUGCCAAGUUGUUUUAGAAGUUCUGCAUUUUGGAGAGGUUGUGUUUCUGCUACAGGGGAAAUUCCAUUGAAGUGGUUUCAUCUCCUUAUAAAUUAUUGCUCCCUGGGUGUUGUUUCUGUGUUUCAAACAAUAUUUGCCGUCAUUAUUAGAAGUUAGCUAUUGCUCGUGGAAUGGCAAAGCCUAAAUGUCAAACUAGGCUUUUAUCCUUUUUAUGCUCAUUUCUUGUUGGAUACAAUAUAUAACUUUAUCAUAAUAAGGGUUUAUCUUGCUGUUAAUAGGUUUAGAUAAAUCAGAGCUGAUCGGGGAUAUUGGUAAUAGAAGCUUCUAUCUCAGAAGAAGCAGCAGCAACCGUAGUAGUAAUGGGCCGUCCUCUCCUUCCAAUUUACACAAUAUUGUGGUGAGGGAAAACUCAUCACCACCUAUUACACCCCUUCCAUUCUUGUUUUCAUCUUUUGUUGCCCGGAAAUUUGGCAAAAUCAUGAGAAGAUCGCGUAGAAUUUGGAAGGUCUUGGUCUGCUGGCAAUAAUCAAAGAUGCUACCAGUUUGAGAGUACAGCAACAUAUUAUUUGCGGAGCUCUUAAAACCUAUUUCUUUCUAUAAUUUUUCACAAAUUGCCUUGUUUAACACCAUAUAAGUGUAAAUAUAAAGCAGCACAUCUCAUUUUAGUUCUAAAUGAUUGGCUUUGUAUAUGGCUGUAAAGAUAUACCCUUGAACUGCAAGGUCAUUUUAUCAAAAGGAAACAUAAUUUAUUUUUGAUUUUCAAUGUACAGAAUUGAAAGGGUGACAGAGCUGUUUGUAUAUAACUUCAAGGUCUCCCCCUCGUUAUAUAAAUACAAGGCUUCCAAUUUGAUACCUCAUUUUAAGCGCUUUUGG